AUUGAACGCUGGCGGCAUGCUUUACACAUGCAAGUCGAACGGCAGCACGGACUUCGGUCUGGUGGAGAGUGGCGAACGGGUGAGUAAUACAUCGGAACGUGCCCAGUUGUGGGGGAUAACUACUCGAAAGAGUAGCUAAUACCGCAUGAGAACUGAGGUUGAAAGCAGGGGAUCGUAAGACCUUGCGCAACUGGAGCGGCCGAUGGCAGAUUAGGUAGUUGGUGGGAUAAAAGCUUACCAAGCCGACGAUCUGUAGCAGGUCUGAGAGGACGACCAGCCACACUGGGACUGAGACACGGCCCAGACUCCUACGGGAGGCAGCAGUGGGGAAUUUUGGACAAUGGGCGAAAGCAUGAUCCAGCAAUGCCGCGUGCAGGAUGAAGGCCUUCGGGUUGUAAACUGCUUUUGUACGGAACGAAAAGCUUCGGGUUAAUACCCUGGAGUCAUGACGGUACCGUAAGAAUAAGCACCGGCUAACUACGUGCCAGCCGCCGCCGUAA
rnacentral:rRNA from 1 species